rnacentral:rRNA from 1 species
GACGGGGGAUGCAAGCGUUAUCCGGAAUCACUGGGCGUAAAGCGUCUGUAGGUGGUGAUGCAAGUCACUGGUGCAAAACUCUGGCUCAACCGGAGGAAAGCCAGUGAAACUGCAUGACUAGAGUGUGGGAGAGGUAGAAGGAAUUCCCUGAGUAGCGGUGAAAUGCGUAGAUACAGGGAAGAACACCGGAGGCGAAAGCGUUCUACUGGAACACAACUGACACUGAGAGACGAAAGCUAGGGGAGCAAACAGG